CUCACAGUAAACUGGUACUAACGAUGACAGCCCAAUACAAUUCUGUAUGACUUUUUUACGGAAAGUUAAAUAAUAAACCUUUCAUAAAUUAAAAAUACAUGGAAUUGUUGGAAUUAACUCCAGAAAGACUUUGGUUCAACUUCUCAGGCGGAAGAUAUUUUGGGGAGAUAUGUCUAUAGACAUCAAAACUGGCGACCUUUAGAUUGAUUUUACUUUUUACCACCGUCACUGGCAAGGAAACUAAUCUAUUAAACUAUUUAUCUGAUCAAUAAUAAAAUAAAAUUUUCUACUGAAUAUUGGCAACAAGA